GCACUUAUGGUGUAACGAUUGGAACUCUAGACUUUGAAUCCAGCGAACGAUCCGGGUUCAAAUCCCGGUAGGAGCU
rnacentral:tRNA from 1 species